rnacentral:rRNA from 1 species
UACGUAGGGCGCAAGCGUUAUCCGGAAUUAUUGGGCGUAAAGAGCUCGUAGGCGGUUUGUCGCGUCUGCCGUGAAAGUCCGGGGCUCAACUCCGGAUCUGCGGUGGGUACGGGCAGACUAGAGUGAUGUAGGGGAGACUGGAAUUCCUGGUGUAGCGGUGAUAUGCGCAGAUAUCAGGAGGAACACCGAUGGCGAAGGCAGGUCUCUGGGCAUUAACUGACGCUGAGGAGCGAAAGCAUGGGGAGCGAACAGG